GAAACGGUGCGAAUUCUUUACUUAUACCCAUGUUUUAUACUGUUAUAAUAAAGUCCUUCCGAUUGAGACUGGGAACUACUUUGUAUUCAGAUGUAAUUGCAUUUUCGGAUGACCUUGCCGGUUUUAGUGGCCAUUGCCCAAGGAACUUUUCCAAAAAGGAACAUAUUACCGGGUGGAUUUUGAAGGUUACAAAUAAGCUCUCCAUUAGUUGUUUGACUAUUUGUGUAACUUAUUUCAACAUUUUUUUCUUUACUCGAAUAUGUCCACGCUCGCCUACUUUUCUUUGCAAUUGCAUGCGUACUUCCAAAGCGUCAGGCACAUACUUUUCUUCUGCUAGACUAUCGAGCACAUUUCGCAGCUCUGUUUUAACGGCAUCAAUACGUUUUAUGUUUUGCGCUGAAAUUGGUAUGACACGUUCA